rnacentral:lncRNA from 1 species
GAAGACUGUACAUAGUACAUAUUCUUAAUAAAGAAUAUAAAGCAAAACUAAAUACGUGUUUAGGCAUAGAAUGAUCUUGUACGGAAGCAGCACAGAGCUCAGACUCUGGAGUUCAAGAGGCAUGGUUUGAAUUCCACGUCCCCCACUUAGUAGCUGUGGGACCUUGGAUAAAAUAUUUUCUCUCUCUCAGCCUGCUUCUUCUCUGGAAAAAGAGAAUAGGAAGGACAACCUCCUCACAGAGUUGUCCCGAGGAGGAACUGAGGCCUGCGAUUUCGGCAUCUGGCGUGGUACCUGAUAGACAGCCCACCUGAACCGGCAGAUUCUGGGGCGACCACAUGCCCCCUUCUUUAGGGCUGCAACCAGGACAACAUCUCCAGGAUGUCUUUGAGACAGUUUGGUGUAGCGAAGAGCACACCUGGG